rnacentral:lncRNA from 1 species
AGGGGACCGAAGUCGGCACAGAUUGCAAUCCGGGAAGGAAAGUGUCCCAGGUGCUUCUCCUUCGGGGAGAGCAAUCCGCUGUGGGGCUCCGUCCCACAUCACCCCGGCAAAGAGACGCCAGGGGCGAAGCCGUCGCCAUCCCAGCAGAGCACGGAGCAAAACGCUUUCUUGAAAGACCCCCCCCAAAAAAGCCACAACGCCCCCUUCCCUUUCUCAAAAGCAAACGCAUCCCGGCUGCGCCCCCGCGUUGCACGAGGGCUCCACGAGCAGCGGGGUGGGAGAAACAAACCUCGAAGGACGGGGUCCGGAAUUUCUUCUUCUUCUUGGAGGGUGAUUUGGAAGGUGAGCCUUCGGGGGAGACGGGCGUGCUGGUCACCGUCUCGCUCUUCUCCUUGGGGGCAUCCUGCUCUGGGUUGGCCGGGGCGCUUGUCUGGUCCCCCCCUUUGCUCUCCUCGGUGCUCUGCUCCUCUUCCUUCCCAUUGACCACCGCUGGAGGCUCCUUUUCGGCGGAGGAAUCGGCCGGAGCUUGGCCAUCCUCCGCCUUCUUAUCACCUUGAUAAGGGGAGAAGAGAGCGGUGAGCUCUGCGGGGCCGCCAGCCGGCAUCGCCCUCCCCCGUGUCACCCCGGGCAGGAGCAGGAUCCAACCCUAUAAGCGCAGCGCAGCGCUCCAGGACCCGACAACACCGCAUCCCUGAGCCUUUCCCCACCCCACGGGACGGAGCAUCGGGCAGAGCCCUGCAUCCCGGCCUCAGCAAUGGAACAAAGCGGGCAACGCCAGCAAGGCAACCCGAGGCACGUCCUGCUGCAGGCGCUGAGCGGGCUGCUGGAGCCCGGCCCCUCCGUACUUACUACAGUGAUAAGCAUUCGGAGUCGGGGGGAACUCCUGGGGUGAAAGCGACACAUGGAGGAAAGAGAAAGGAAGACGUUGUGGAGACAGACACGAGGACACCAUGAGACACGAUGAGACAGCCAGCAGCCCCCACCGCCGCCCCCCCCCAACCCCCCAUUCCUCCUCCAACCCCUGCAGGUUGCAUGCAACAGAUGUACACGAUGUGCGGGUAACGACGCUGGGAGUCCCCGCAGAGUCCCCCUGGUGGGUGCCCAAAUCCUGCGUUGACCUUAAAGGGAGGCAGCAGGUAUGGGGGCGCUGUGCAUCCCCACUGCUGUGGGGCAGCACGAAGGCGCCGCUGAUGUUUAAUGCACUUUUUUUCCACGGGGGUUUUGCUCUUCAGCCCCCUCCGCCCUCACCCCACUCACCCUCCGGACCCUCCGGGGCUGCACUUUUGUCGGGGGAUUUUGGAGACCCCGGUGGUGAUUUUGGGGGGGAUGCCUGGGUUUCCUCUGCCUCCUUGUCUCCUGCAGACAGACAGAUGGCUACAGACCCCAUAACGGGGCUUUGGGAUGCACACGGCCCCCCCAGCUCUUACCGUGCAGCCCCAGCUUCUUCCUCUCCACCUCCCGCUUGUACUCCUCCAGCUCCUGGUCCGUGAGCUGGCUGAAAGGGUUCGGGGGCUCCGGCUCAGCGGGGGCCUCCUCUUGAGAUGGGUUUUUGGUCUCGGCAUCCCCCAAAUGGCUUUCUGUGGACUGAACGCCCCCCCCCCAAAUAGCAGCGUCACCUCCUGGAGCGAGGAGGAAUGGGGGCCGCGGGGACAUGGGGGACGUACGGGGCUGCGGCUCGUCUCGGCGAUCACACUGGCCAGCAGCUGGGACUGCGGCCCCGCAGACUUCACGUCCUGGCGGUUCUGCUCACGGAUCUGCAGGAGAGAUGCAGAGAGAGAGGAUGGGAAAACGCGGACCUGUCGUCCUUGGGACCCCCUUUGGGACCCCGCAUCCGGGGCGACCCAGAUGGCACCGCACCUUGUUCCUCAUCUCCAGCACCUCCUGAGGGUCGGUGUAGAGGGGCACAAACUGGUUGGGGUUCUCGAUGCGGAUGGCGGUGCCACUGCUGCCCUUCUCCACCUCAUCAGCCUUCAGCCACUGCGUGGAGCGGAGGGGGGGACCCCCAGAGAUGCGUGGCAUGGAGAGCAAACCCAAAUGAACGCACGGCAUGGAGAGAGGAAACCCCAACAGUUGCACAUAAUCAAGAGCAAGCCCCAGCAAAUGCAUGGCACCGAGGGAGGAAACCCAGAGAAAUGCAUGGCAUGGAAAGAGGAAAGCACAAUAUGUGCAUGGCAUGGAGAAAGGAAACCCCAACAAAUGCAUGUCCUCAAGAGGAAACCCCAAUAAGUGCAUGGCAACCCCAAUAAGCGCAUGGCAUUGAGAGAGGAAGCCCUAAUAAAUGCACAGCGUUGAGAGCAAACCCUGAUAAAAGAACGGUUCUGAGCAGUAACUCCAAUAAGUACACAGCAUUAAGAGAGGAAACCUCAACAGCUGCGUGCCGUGGAGAGCAAAGCCCGAUCCACAUCAGCGGGAGUGAACCCCGUUUGCACGGCACUGGGAGGAAACCCCAAUUAGUGCUUGGCAUGGAGAAAGCAAACCCCGUCAAAUACAUGGCAUGGAGGGAGAGGAGAACUUGAUAGAUGAGAGCAAACCCCAAUAGAUGUAUGGCACGGGGAGAGCAAACCCUGACGAAUGCACGGCGUGGCAAGAGGAAAGCCCAAUAAAUGCAUGGCUCCAGGAGAUGAAAGCUGGUGAACAAACACAUCCUGCACAGAGGAGAGACGGUGCCAAACGUGCUGCGGGGAAAGGAAACCCCAACAAAGCACUGCGUGCUGGUGGGCUUUUAGAACGAAAGGCGCUAUGGGGCAAAUAAAGGCACAACAGGUGGGCACACGAAGCAUUUCUCACUGCUGGACGACCCCUGCGGGCUCUCUCUGCGCACCCAUUUUUGGUGGAACCAACACUCCGAGCAUCCCCUACCUCCCUUUUACCAACAAUCCCCCCCCCCCCAGGAGCAACCGGCCGGAGCCAAAAAAACCCCAAAGACCCCAAAGAACAGCCCCAUACAGUCGUCUUGGUCUUCUGGCCUCCCUGCUGCUCCUCGGCCACGCUGACCCUCAGGUAGGUGUUGGGCGUGUUGAGCCACCGCGUCUUCUCCUUCUGCUGCUUCUGCGCGUGCUGCCGCAGCGCCGGCGUGGGCAUCGCCUCCUCCUCGAAGACGAAGGCCGUCACCGUGGCAGGGAUGAGCACGUCGCUUUUGGGUUUGCUUUUCUCUUGCACGAAGGGGUACCGGUAGGUGUAGCCGGUGCGGUAGCCCUGAGGAGCGGAACGGUGUUGAGUUCUGCAGGUUGUUUUCUCAGGGUGGGUCGAAGGGAUGGAGGGACGGCGCCCGCUCGCCCGCAGUGCGCUCACCAGGUUGUCCAGCAUCCUCAUCAGGGCUUCAAAUUCGUGCUCGCCCAAACGGCUCUUCUGCAUGGGGCCAAAGGUGCUGCCAGCCCAGCGCACAGAGCCCACCUCGUGGGGACGGUGCUUGGCACGCUCCAGCACGAUGAGGUUCUCCGCGCCGCCUGCGCUCGCCAGCGCCGACACCUGCAGCAUUGCGUCGGUGGCUGAGGCUUUGCACAGCUCUGUGCAUUGUGCUGGGGGCGUUGCUCUGGUGCUGAGGGCAUGCGUGGUGCUGGGAGCGUUGCAAUGAUGGCCGAGACCAUGCACAACUCAGUGCACGGUGCUGGGAGCGUUGCAGUGGUGCUGGGAGCAUGCGCAGCUUUGUGUAUGGAUGGCGAAGGGGGUAUUUCAUUGGUGGCUGAGACCGUGCACAGAGCUGCGUAUGGUGCAGGGGGUAUUGCAUGGAUGGCUGAGGGCAUGCAUGGUGCUGGGAGCGUUGCACUGAUGGCUGAGACCAUGCACAACUCAGUGCAUGGGUAUUGCACUGAUGGCUGAGACCAUGCACAGCUCAGUGCAUGGUGCUGGGAGCGUUGCACUGAUGGC